GUUGAAAUUCCAUCAAUGCGCAUAUAUGAAUAGUCAAUGAUUAGACAAAUUUUCAUAUCUGAAUUUUUAAUUAUUAUAAGUUGUUUAAUAAAUUUUUUAUAGAUAAUAAGCAAGAAUAAGCAUGUAUUCACAGAAUUCAAACCUACAUAAAUCAAGGACUUACUAUAUUUUGAAACUCGAACUCAUAAGCAAUUACAAAAGAAAACCAAGGUUAGGUAGGUUGAGCUUUAUUGAUAAAAAAAAAAAUAUUAUCAAAAUGUUGUGCUUUAAAACUAACCCAAUUGCUGUCAAACCUAUGAACAGUUUAUUUUAUUUUGUAGAAUACGAGCUGCCUGGACUAUCCCCAGGACCAGAUUAUACAUAAGCUACACAAGCUACAAUUUAAAAGCCACAAUACAUGUAAAUCUAGUCCUGAUUAUUUCAUCCUUUAAACUUGACCUCUUCUACAAGAGAAUGAUAGGGCCUGUUUUUGGCCUUCCACUAGGUACUCGAAAGUGGCAUUAUUUGCUGACAAAAAACUUAUAAGGUUAAAAUUAUUUUAUUUCUUUAUACAUAUAAAACAAAAUUAACUUGUAUAUUAGAUUAUAAUUUAUUUUAUAUUUUCCAAAAUAUCAAUAAUCAUUGACUUAUGUGUAAUGAAUCUGUUAAUUCUGUAGUAGAUCAAUACAAUUCAAUGGGUUUCAAGUCCCUGACAUAAUGAUAGGAAAUACAAAAGGC
rnacentral:lncRNA from 1 species